UUACGGUCAAAUCACACUGAAACACCGGUUCUCGUUCGAUCACCGAAGUUAAGCAUCGUAGAGCCAGGUCAGUACUUAGAUGGGGGACCGCUUGGGAACACCUGGUACUGUAAG
rnacentral:rRNA from 1 species